CAGCAGCCGCGGUAAUACGUAGGGUGCGAGCGUUAAUCGGAAUUACUGGGCGUAAAGCGUGCGCAGGCGGUUCGUUAAGACAGAUGUGAAAUCCCCGGGCUUAACCUGGGAACUGCAUUUGUGACUGGCGAGCUAGAGUAUGGCAGAGGGGGGUAGAAUUCCACGUGUAGCAGUGAAAUGCGUAGAGAUGUGGAGGAAUACCGAUGGCGAAGGCAGCCCCCUGGGCCAAUACUGACGCUCAUGCACGAAAGCGUGGGGAGCAAACAGGAUAGAUACCCGUGUAGUCCCUGUCUCUUAUACA
rnacentral:rRNA from 1 species